ACCUGGCUGGCUCAGUGGGUAGAGUGACUCUUGAUCUUGGGGUCGUGAGUUCGAACCCCACGCUGGGUA
rnacentral:tRNA from 1 species